UCAGCCCAAUUCAGCCGGAUUCAGCGGUUACCAUUUAUACCUUUAGGAUAUUUUAAUCCCAAAUUCUCAAAAUCGAAUCUCUAAUCUUACCAUCUACUUAUUUUCACAAUCCUUUAAAAACCAAGUAUAUUUUUCUUUUAUUCUACAAUAAAUUUUUACCACCAACAAACUAUUAUAAACAAUCAAUGAGAAUCAUUCUCUCUCCUCUCUUAUUAACCACAAAAAAAAAUCUCUUAUAUAACAAUCUUGUUCUCGAGAUUUUGCAACUUCCAAACUCACAUCUCUUAUCUUCUCCCUACCAAAAAAAAAAAUAUCUCUUAUCUUCUUCUUCUCCAUCCACCAUUAAAGCUCACUUCAAGGUGACAAUGAAAAAUACUUCAACCAUACGUUUUGCUUAUGAUGGAUACUACUCAAGUAUCGGAGAAGGUGUACGAUGGAUUUUAAAAGAAGAUGAAGAAGUGCAUUCUUUUCGUAUGCAAUCAUCGAUUGGAAAGGUAUAUCACAUGCUAAGUUGGUUGAAAAGAUAUGCAGCAAGAAAAUGUUAGAUGUGGCUACGACGAAGCUGAGAGUUAGUUACUUUUUCUUCUCAUUCCCACAAUAUAAGGUAAUACCAAAUUAUAUUCGGGAUGAUGAAAAUGUUGUGUGUUAUUUAAAUGAUGUAAGUUAAGAAGAGUUUAGAAGUGUUUUGCAUGUCGAAAUUACCAAUAAUAACGAACAAAAUCAAGGAUUGAUGAAAAUGAGGGUUUGAUCAAGUUUUAAGAGAGGAUUUGGUAAGGGAAAAUGUUGCAAAUAAUAAAGAAACUCCUCUAAUUGGUGGAGCGAAUGAUAGUGGUGGUGGUGGUGGUAUCUUUGCUAUGCACGUUGGAGACCAAUCACAACAAACUCUGGUGGUAGUGGAGAAUGAAGAUAGAGAUGUAGAAGGAAAUGAAUCCAUACCUCUUUUAUGAAAAGAUGAUCUUGAUAUUCCGGUAGGCCAAGAAUUUAGAAGCAAAGAAGCAAUACAAUGUUUAGUUGAAAAGAAUGGACAUAAGAAUUGUUUUGAGUUUGUUGUAAAGAAUUCGGAGCCGUUGAGAUAUGUGGUAAUAUAUUCAGAAGCACAUCAUGGUUGCGAUUGGUAUGUACAAGCUGCGAGGAGUGAUACGUCUAAGCGUUUCUCUAUACAAACUCAUAGAAAUAUUCCUUCAUGCUCUCGGUCAAGUAUAAGUACAUGGCGUAGUAGAAGGAAAUGCACACCAACUAUGGUUGCUUCUUUUUUCACUGAAGAUUAUUCGGGUAAAAUUGCCACGCCAACUCUAAAAGAUCUCAUUGAUUUGGUUCAAGUAAGAUUUGGUGUGUAAGUGUCAUACUCUAUUGCAUGGAGAGGAAAAAAAUAAGUUGCGAAUGAUGUUCGAGGUACCCCAGAGGAAGGUUUUAUGCUUUUGUAUUCUUAUAUGUUCAUGAUACAGAAGAUGAAUCUUGGUACAGUUUCAUAUGUGGAAGUGGAUGAGGAAUAAAAGUUAUUAGUUCUUCGCAUUGGGAGUUUCCAUUGAAGGCUUCUGUGUCAUGAGAAAAGUGAUCAUUAUUGAUGGAACCCAUCUUAAGACUACAUAUGUUGGAAUGCUAAUUGUUGUUACAGCUCAAGAUCCCGAUCAUGACCACUAUCUGAUUGCUUUUGGUGUAGUGGAUGGUGAGAAAAAUGAAAGUUGGACUUGGUUUCUCAAAAAGCUCAAAUCGAUUAUACCAGAUGAUCCUGAAAUUGUGUUUGUUUCUGAUAGAAACUAAAGUCUCAUCAAGACAAUAUAUGUGGUCUAUCUGUUAUCUCACCAUGGGCACUGUAUCCACCAUUUGUCUCCGAAUGUGAAAGAAAAGGAUUUUGGAGUAAGCACAACAAUAUGUACAGAAAAGUUCAUGCGAUGUGCUCGGGCUUAUACGGAGGCAAAGUUCAUAUAGCUUUGUGGUGUUCUUUUGUCAACCUAUCCUUCGACACGUUUGUAUCUAGAUGAGUGGGUGGAUGUGAUGAAAUGGGGGUAGAUGUUAUUUUGGAGGAAAAAUAUAUAACAUAGAUACAAGCAAUGAUGUUGAAUCUAUUAAUGGUAUUUUAGGAAAAGCUCGGAACUACUCACUAUUACAAAUGAUAGAUGCGAUUAUCGAGAAAAUGGCUGAGUGGUUUGGCAAACAUAGAAAAGCUUCUGGAGUUCCUUCUCCACAAAAGAAACCCAAUACUAUCCAGUUGGUAAUUUCUCUAGAAGCUUUUCUAUAUUUUGCAAACCACUAAGCCAUUUUUUCGAUAAUUCCAUUUAUCAUUUGUAAUAGUAAGUAGUUCCUUGCUUUUUCUAAAAUACCAUUAAUAGAUUCAACAGCAUUGCUUGUGUCUAUGUUGUAUUUUUCUCCUCCAAAAUAACAUCUAGCCCAUUUCGUCACAUCCGCCCACUCAUCUAGAUACAAACGUUCAAAGGAUAUGUUGACAAAAAAUCACUAUAAAGCUGUAAAAACUCUACCUCCAUAUAAGCCCGAGCACAUUCCAUGAACUUUUUUGCACAUAUUAAUGUGUUUACUCCAAAAACCUUUCCUUUCACAUUCUAAGACAAAUGGUAGAUAUAAUGCCCAUGGUGAGAUAAUAGAUAGACCACAUAUAUUGUCUUGAUGAGACUUUGGUUUCUAUCAGAAACAAACACAAUUUCAAGAUCAUCUGGUAUAAUCGAUUUGAACUUUUUGAAAAACUAAGUCCAACUUUCAUUUUUCUCACCAUCUACAACACCAAAAGCAAUCAGAUAAUGGUGAUGAUCGGGAUCUUGAGCUGUAGCAACAAUUAGCACUCCACCAUAUGUAGUCUUAAGAUGGGUUCCAUCAAUAAUGAUCACUUUUCUCAUGACACAUAAGCCUUCAAUGGAAACUCCCAAUGUGAAGAAUAAGUUCUUAAACUUUUGUUCCUCACCCACUUUCACAUAUGAAAUUGUACCAAAAUUCAUCUUCUUUAACAUGAACAUAUAAUAAUACAGAAGCCUAAAACAUUCUUCUAGGGUACCUCGAACAUCAUUUGCAGCUUUUUUUUUCUCCGUGCGGUAGAGUAUGACACUUGUACAACAAAUCUUCCUUGAACCAAAUAAAUGAGAUCUUUUAGAGUUACCAUGACAAUUUUACCCGGAUAAUCUUCAGCCAAAAAGGAAACAACCAUAGUUGGUGUGUCUUUCGUUCUACUUCGUCUUGUACUUAUACUUGAACGAAAGCAUUAAUGAAUAUUUCUAUGACUUCGUAUCGAGAAAUGCUUAGACGUAUCACUCCUCGCAGAUCGUACAUACCAAUCACAACCAUGAUGUGCUUAAGAACAUUUUACCACAUAUCUCAACGGCUCCAAAUUCUUUGCAACAAACUCAAAACAAUUAUUAUGUUCAAUAUUUUCAACUAAACUUUGUAUUGCUUCUUUGCUUCCGAACUCUUGGCCUACCGUAAUACCAAGAUUAUCUUUCCAUAAAAGAAGUAUGGAUUCAUUUUCUUCUACAUCUCUAUCUUCAUUCGUCAUUACCAGCGGAUUUUGUUGUGAUUGGUCUCUAGUGCAUAGCAAAGAUACCACUAUCAUUCGCUCUACCAAUUAGAGUAAUCUCUUAUUUGCAACAUAUUCUCUUACCAAAUACUCUCAGAAAACUUAAUCAAACCUCUCAUUUUCAUCAAUUCCUUGAUUUUUGUUCAUCAUCAUUGGUAGCUUCGACAUGCAAAACACUUCUAAACUCUUCUUCACUCAUAUCAUUUAAAUAACACACAACAUCUUCAUCAUCUCAAAUAUAAUUUUGUAUUACCUUAUAAUGUGGGAAAGAGAAGAAAAAAUAACUAACUCUCAGCUUCGUCGUAGCCUCAUAUACCCUUUUCUUGCUGCAUAUAUUUUCAACCAACUUAGCAUAUGAUACAUCUCCAAUCGAUUACUUCAUAAGAAAAUAAUACACUUCUUUAUCUUCUCUUAAAAUCUAUCAUACAUCUUCUCCGAUACUUGAAUAGUAUCUAUCAUAAGCAAAACGUAUAACUGAAGUCUUUUUCAUUGACACUUGAAACAAAUGAGAGAAAGUAAACGGUCUAUAAUUUUACAUUUUUUGUAGCAGUCCAUAAACAUAGUUGUACCCAUUUGUCCAAGUUGUACCAAUUUUUGUCUCCAUAAAUAUUUUACAUAAUUGUACCCAAUGGUUCUAGUUGUCCCAAAUCUUCAAUCUCCAAAUUUUCCUACUAAAUUCCGCA